GGGUUGUGAGGUUAAGCGAAUAAGCGUACACGGUGGAUGCCUAGGCAAUCAGAGGCGAUGAAGGACGUGCUAAUCUGCGAAAAGCGUCGGUAAGGUGAUAUGAACCGUUAUACCCGACGAUAUCCGAAUGGGGAAACCCAGUAUCCAAUGGAUACUAUCAUUAACUGAAUCCAUAGGUUAAUGAGGCGAACCGGGAGAACUGAAACAUCUCAGUACCCCGAGGAAAAGAAAUCAACCGAGAUUCCCCUAGUAGCGGCGAGCGAACGGGGAGCAGCCCAGAGUCUUAAUCAAUAGCAGUGUCAGGAGAACGGUCUGGAAAGUCCGGCAGUAAAGGGUGAUAGCCCCGUAUCUGAAGAUGCUGUUAUUGUGAACUCGACGAGUAGGGCGGGACACGUGUUAUCCUGUCUGAAUAUGGGGGGACCAUCCUCCAAGGCUAAAUACUCCUGAUUGACCGAUAGUGAACCAGUACCGUGAGGGAAAGGCGAAAAGAACCCCGGCGAGGGGAGUGAAAAAGAACCUGAAACCGUGUACGUACAAGCAGUAGGAGCCUCUUUAUGGGGUGACUGCGUACCUUUUGUAUAAUGGGUCAGCGACUUAUAUUCUGUAGCGAGGUUAACCGUAUAGGGGAGCCGUAGGGAAACCGAGUCUUAACUGGGCGAAUGAGUUGCAGGGUAUAGACCCGAAACCCGGUGAUCUAUCCAUGGGCAGGUUGAAGGUUGGGUAACACUAACUGGAGGACCGAACCGACUAAUGUUGAAAAAUUAGCGGAUGACUUGUGGAUGGGGGUGAAAGGCCAAUCAAACCGGGAGAUAGCUGGUUCUCCCCGAAAGCUAUUUAGGUAGCGCCUCGUGAACUCAUCUUCGGGGGUAGAGCACUGUUUCGACUAGGGGGUCAUCCCGACUUACCAACUCGAUGCAAACUGCGAAUACCGAAGAAUGUUAUCACGGGAGACACACGGCGGGUGCUAACGUCCGUCGUGAAGAGGGAAACAACCCAGACCGCCAGCUAAGGUCCCAAAGUCAUGGUUAAGUGGGAAACGAAGUGGGAAGGCUCAGACAGCCAGGAUGUUGGCUUAGAAGCAGCCAUCAUUUAAAGAAAGCGUAAUAGCUCACUGGUCGAGUCGGCCCGCGCGGAAGAUGUAACGGGGCUAAACCAUGCACCGAAGCUGCGGCAGCGACACAAAGUGUUGUUGGGUAGGGGAGCGUUCUGUAAGCCUGCGAAGGUGUACUGUGAGGUAUGCUGGAGGUAUCAGAAGUGCGAAUGCUGACAUAAGUAACGAUAAUGCGGGUGAAAAACCCGCACGCCGGAAGACCAAGGGUUCCUGUCCAACGUUAAUCGGGGCAGGGUGAGUCGACCCCUAAGGCGAGGCUGAAAAGCGUAGUCGAUGGGAAACGGGUUAAUAUUCCCGUACUGGUGGUAACUGCGAUGGGGGAACGGAGAAGGCUAGGUUGUCCGGGCGACGGUCGUCCCGGUUCAAGCAGGUAGGCAGAGUGAUUAGGCAAAUCCGGUCACUUAAUGCUGAGAUGUGAUGACGAACCACCAAGGUGGUGAAGCAAUUGAUGCCCCGCUUCCAGGAAAAGCCUCUAAGCUUCAGGUUACCAACAAUCGUACCCCAAACCGACACAGGUGGUCAGGUAGAGAAUACUCAGGCGCUUGAGAGAACUCGGGUGAAGGAACUAGGCAAAAUGGUGCCGUAACUUCGGGAGAAGGCACGCUGGCGGUAGGUAAAGUCCCUCGCGGACGGCGCUGAAGCCAGUCGAAGAUACCAGCUGGCUGCAACUGUUUAUUAAAAACACAGCACUGUGCAAACACGAAAGUGGACGUAUACGGUGUGACGCCUGCCCGGUGCUGGAAGGUUAAUUGAUGGGGUCAGCCGUAAGGCGAAGCUCCUGAUCGAAGCCCCAGUAAACGGCGGCCGUAACUAUAACGGUCCUAAGGUAGCGAAAUUCCUUGUCGGGUAAGUUCCGACCUGCACGAAUGGCGUAAUGAUGGCCAGGCUGUCUCCACCCGAGACUCAGUGAAAUUGAACUCGCUGUGAAGAUGCAGUGUACCCGCGGCAAGACGGAAAGACCCCGUGAACCUUUACUAUAGCUUGACACUGAACAUUGAGCCUUGAUGUGUAGGAUAGGUGGGAGGCUUUGAAGUGUGGACGCCAGUCUGCAUGGAGCCAACCUUGAAAUACCACCCUUUAACGUUUGAUGUUCUAACCUAGGCCCAUAAACUGGGUCGGGGACCGUGUCUGGUGGGUAGUUUGACUGGGGCGGUCUCCUCCUAAAGAGUAACGGAGGAGCACGAAGGUUGGCUAAGCAUGGUCGGACAUCAUGCGGUUAGUGCAAAGGCAUAAGCCAGCUUGACUGCGAGAGUGACGGCUCGAGCAGGUACGAAAGUAGGUCUUAGUGAUCCGGUGGUUCUGAAUGGAAGGGCCAUCGCUCAACGGAUAAAAGGUACUCCGGGGAUAACAGGCUGAUACCGCCCAAGAGUUCAUAUCGACGGCGGUGUUUGGCACCUCGAUGUCGGCUCAUCACAUCCUGGGGCUGAAGUAGGUCCCAAGGGUAUGGCUGUUCGCCAUUUAAAGUGGUACGCGAGCUGGGUUUAGAACGUCGUGAGACAGUUCGGUCCCUAUCUGCCGUGGGCGUUGGAAGAUUGAGAGGGGUUGCUCCUAGUACGAGAGGACCGGAGUGAACGCACCACUGGUGUUCGGGUUGUCAUGCCAAUGGCAUUGCCCGGUAGCUAAGUGCGGAAGAGAUAACCGCUGAAAGCAUCUAAGCGGGAAACUUGCCUCGAGAUGAGUCUUCCCUGUCGCUUUAAGUGACCUAAAGGAACGUUUAAGACUAAGACGUUGAUAGGCUGGGUGUGUAAGCGUAGCGAUACGUUGAGCUAACCAGUACUAAUGAACCGUGAGGCUUAACCUGACAACACCGAAAGUGUUUUG
rnacentral:rRNA from 1 species